rnacentral:tRNA from 1 species
GGACGGCUGGCUGAGUCUGGCUUAAGGCACCUGCCCGGAAAGCAGGCGGCCCGCAAGGGUCCGCGCGUUCGAAUCGCGCGCCGUCCGCCA